GAUAAACGCUGGCGGCGCACAUAAGACAUGCAAGUUGAACGGACUUAAUCGAAAUAUUUAUAUUUUGAAGCGGUUAGUGGCGGACUGGUGAGUAACGCGUAAGGAACCUGCCUAUUAGAGGGGAAUAACAGUGAGAAAUCAUUGCUAAUACCGCAUAUGCCAUAGAUAUCACAUGAUAACAGUGGGAAAGGAGCAAUCCGCUAAUAGAUGGCCUUGCGUCUGAUUAGAUAGUUGGUGGGGUAACGGCCUACCAAGUCGACGUUCAGUAGCCGGACUGAGAGGUUGAACGGCCACAUUGGGACUGAGAUACGGCCCAGACUCCUACGGGAGGCAGCAGUCGGGAAUAUUGCGCAAUGGAGGAAACUCUGACGCAGUGACGCCGCGUAUAGGAAGAAGGUUUUCGGAUUGUAAACUAUUGUCGUUAGGGAAGAGAAAGGACAGUACCUAAGGAGGAAGCUCCGGCUAACUACGUG
rnacentral:rRNA from 1 species